rnacentral:rRNA from 1 species
GCGUGAGUGAUGAAGGCCUUAGGGUUGUAAAGCUCUUUUACCAGGGAUGAUAAUGACAGUACCUGGAGAAUAAGCUCCGGCUAACUCCGUGCCAGCAGCCGCGGUAAUACGGAGGGAGCUAGCGUUGUUCGGAAUUACUGGGCGUAAAGCGCGCGUAGGCGGCCAUUCAAGUCAGAGGUGAAAGCCCGGGGCUCAACUCCGGAACUGCCUUUGAAACUAGAUGGCUAGAAUAUGGGAGAGGUGAGUGGAAUUCCGAGUGUAGAGGUGAAAUUCGU